UUAUUUGAGAGUUUGAUCCUGGCUCAGGAUGAACGCUGGCGGCGUGCCUAACACAUGCAAGUUGAGCGAUUUACUUCGGUAAAGAGCGGCGGACGGGUGAGUAACGCGUGGGUAACCUACCCUGUACACACGGAUAACAUACUGAAAGGUAUGCUAAUACGGGAUAAUAUAUUUGAGAGGCAUCUCUU
rnacentral:rRNA from 1 species